GUGAAUCCAAAGUGCAGAAGCGGAGAAAAGAUGUGGACUACUCAAGACGUGAUGGAAGUCACAAGCUUUGCAUGUCCCCUCUUGAUCCGAAAAAGCUGAAAGAGAUUGAACCAAUACCUGCAACUAACAAGCAUCAAGAUUCAGAUCAGAGUCUGUAGGAAGAACCAGCCAAGACUCGAGAUCAAGCUUUAAAAGAUCAUCAUAUUCAGUUGCUAGAUGAGUACCCUAUUACAGCUGGGGUGCUGCUGUUCUCGCCUACAUGUAUAGACAGAUGUGUCGGGCGAGCAUAGGCACUCAGAAAGAUAUUUGUGGUUUUCUGCCACUUCUAUAGGUUUGGGCCUGGGAGCGGUUCUUGUAGUUUCAGCCACCUCUACCACAAUUACCUCCUAAUGUAUCACCUCCGGAACUCCCUCUAGCCAGGAGGUGGGUUCUCCGCCGUACACUUUCACGAGAGUAUGAUGCUCAUCAUAAUCUCCCCCUCGGCAGGGAUGUGUUGGAUCUGAUGGAGGGCGUACAAUUCAUCUGGAUGCCAUAGAGCGAUGAUUUGAUAGCUGGCCUGCCAGCUUAUUGCUGGGCCGGCCGACUGAUUUAGAGCACUUCUGCCCUGCUCAUAUGCCUCGAUAUUGUGGAGCAUCAUGCCUCGGAGUGGGUACUUCGCCAGUUUGGCUACCCACAGUAUAUAUUGAGGGGGCCUAUAUGGGAGCCUAGACAUUAUUAGAGGGAUGACGUUCUAGGGCGGACGACGCAUUUAUGGCAUGGUUAGCGGCGCAGAUCUAUAUUUGGGACCAGCGAGAUCAAAUGAUUCCGCCCCUACCUACACAGAUCCAGGAGGUGGCUAUUCAGAGGUAUAUGUCCUGGUACCGCCACGUUACCCGACUUUUUAUAGGGAACCCUAUUCAUCAGACUGGUGGUCGGUACGUUCCAUACGCCGGGCGACACCUGCGAUCCUGCGGCUGCCUUGAAGGAUUAUAGUCGUCAAUUUGUAGAGUUGGCUGCCCGGACACUACAGCAAGCCCGGGAUGAUCAGCGUUUGGCAUAAAUGCCUAAUUUUGUGGAGCCAAAGCACUACAAGCGAGGCCCUGGUGUCGCACGAGGUGGUGGUGCCCGACGAGGUGGUGGUGCCCGACGAGGCAGGGGUGCCGGACAAUGAGGCAGUGGGCGGAGAGGAGGUGGUCCCCAGCAUGGGGGCAUUGAGGUCCCUGCUGAUGAUGUUGCUGCUGAUCUGCCGGGUGGCCUACAUGAGACGGACAUGCCGUCAUACAGCCUUGGGAUGGAUCUCACUCUAGGGACUUCGCAGGUGACCCCGUCAGGUCAAUUAUUGAUCAUGGGCAUAGACCUUUCUAGAGUGGAUUGGGAGACAUACUUUCCAGGCUCGUCUACUGUUGUUGAGGUUCGGCCGACCCGAGAUUUACAUAGUGGGUGCCGGUUGAGUUAUGGUUCAUCAUUACAGGCGGAGGUUGAACGCAAUGCUGAUAUGGCUGCGACAAAUGAUUACAUUCAGGAGCCCGACGAUAUCGUGAUAAGACAAUUUAAAUUGUUGUAACUUAUUAUAUACUUUGUUAUACUGAGCUUUCUAUUCUUAUUUUGGUUUCUACUGUACUGACGGCCCCUUUUACCGAUCCUGUCAACACCAUUGAUGUUCAUGAUGCGGCGCAUCCGGCUAUUAGAACGCGACUUGAUGAUGACGAUCCCGAUAGUGUACCCGGUGGGAUGGGAUGCGCCUCAGGCCAGCGGCCGCGUUGAAGCACACUGGAUGCGGGACACAUUGAUUUUCUUUCCUUGUUUUUUGUAUUUGAUGUAAAUAAUAAUUUUGUAUAUACAUUAACA